AGUGUGUAGGCGGUGCUCCCAGUCUGUUGUGAAAUCUCCCGGCUUAACUGGGAGGGUGCAGCGGAAACUAGAGUGCUAGAGGGUGGGAGAGGUAAGCGGAAUUCCUGGUGUAGCGGUGAAAUGCGUAGAUAUCAGGAGGAACACCUGUGGUGUAGACAGCUUACUGGACCACUUCUGACGCUGAGACACGAAAGCGUGGGUAGCAAACAGGAUUAGAUACCCUGGUAGUCCACGCCCUAAACGAUGCAUACUUGGUGUGAGCGAUUCAUUUCGUUCGUGCCGGAGCUAACGCGUUAAGUAUGCCGCCUGGGGAGUACGGUCGCAAGGCUGAAACUCAAAGGAAUUGA
rnacentral:rRNA from 1 species